UACGUAGGUGACCAGCGUUGUCCGGAUUUACUGGGCGUAAAGAGCGCGCAGGCGGUCGUUCAAGUCGAGUGUGAAAGCCCCCGGCUCAACUGGGGAGGGUCAUUCGAUACUGAUCGACUCGAAGGCAGGAGAGGGAAGCGGAAUUCCCGGUGUAGUGGUGAAAUGCGUAGAGAUGUGGAGGAACACCAGUGGCGAAGGCGGCUUUCUGGUCUGUAACUGACGCUGAGGCGCGAAAGCGUGGGGAGCAAACAGG
rnacentral:rRNA from 1 species